rnacentral:rRNA from 1 species
UACGUAGGGUGCAAGCGUUGUCCGGAAUUAUUGGGCGUAAAGAGCUCGUAGGCGGUCUGUCGCGUCUGCUGUGAAAACUCGGGGCUUAACCCCGGGCCUGCAGUGGGUACGGGCAGACUAGAGUGCGGUAGGGGAGACUGGAAUUCCUGGUGUAGCGGUGAAAUGCGCAGAUAUCAGGAGGAACACCGGUGGCGAAGGCGGGUCUCUGGGCAUCUCCUGACGCUGAGGCGCGAAAGCGUGGGGAGCAAACGGG